CCCUUUCCAACUUACUUGCCGGCCGUGUGCUGUGGCCUCUGUGUCCUUUGGAAAUGGCAAAAGGAAGCGUCUUCCGUUUUGCCAAGCGUUACUAGAGAUUAAUGUAAAAGGAACAUCCCGAGAGGGCCGUUAAACUCCCCCCCCCCCCCUUUUUCACUUUCCAGACACUAUGCCCUGGGUCUGUCCACCAUCCAGAAGAACCAUGUUUCUCCAUUCAGGUUACUGCUCAGAGUCGGAGCAAGAUAUUCAUCCUAAAGGGGUACAGGUCAGGCCUACAGUAUGAGGGAAGCAAAUUGAAGCAGACAUCCACGGAACUCUCCAGAGCUUCAUCCACGAGGACGCUCCACCUGCGUGGGCAUGUUCUACCCAGAGGGCACAGAUGUCACCCUGGUUCACAACUGUCUCUCCUGCUAUUCCUGGGCUGCCUGUGGUCCAUAAAAGAACAGGCACAACAGAUUCUAAAAGCAUGUGGGCUACGUUCAUGCAUCACUCAGACCUUCCAGUGUUCUUCAGACAACGAUCAGACUUACCUUGUCAACGCUGGACCAGACCCAUACCGGUUAGGCCAACAUCACUCUGCUGCACCACCACAAACAGCGUGGUGAUUAAUGGUAUGUGUACUGCAAUCACAAUACAGAAACUCCAUCCAUCCAUCCAUCCAUCCAUCCAUCCAUCCAUCCAUCUAUCCAUCGAUCCAUCCAUCCAUUUUCCAAACCGCUUAUCCUACUGGGUCGUGAGGGUCCAUAUUACCUGCCUAUCCCGGAAGCAAUGGGCAUGAGGCAGGGAACAACCCAGGAUGGGGGGCCAGCCCAUCGCAGGGCACACUCAUACACCAUUCACUCACACAUGCAUUCGUACGGGCAAUUUAGCAACUCCAAUUAGCCUCAGCAUGUUUUUGGACUGUGGGGGGAAACCUGAGUACCCGGAGGAAACCCCACGACGACAUGGGGAGAACAUGCAAACUCGGCACACAUGUGACCCAGGCGGAGACUUGAACCCGGGUCCCAGAGGUAUGUGGCCCCAUACAGAAACUCACAUCCAGAAAACUGUAGGUUUGAUUUUGUUCACUUACAGUCAUUAAAUAUGUUCAUACCGGCCAUUUUAUAUUCCCAUGAUGCACCGCUGAAUGGUGCCACCCUGUUAGUGAACAGAAUCUUAGCUUAAAUUAUUCACCGGGCACGAAGGGUGAUUGGGCGUACACAAGAUGUAAAGUGGAAUCAUUUAUCAGGACAGACAGGUCAAACGAGAAGGGUGCCGUUCAUAAAAAACGUUGACAGAGUUGUUUGAAAACUGACGCGAUAAGACAGACGUGCUUCGAUCAAAAGUAGCAUGUCUAGAUAACUGCCCGACUGCAGCAUGGCAGAACAACUGCCAGUAAGCGAAAUAACUGCAAAGUCAUACAGCGUAUGCAAAAAGACAAGCAAAGAAAAGCUCUGUUGGCUGAUUUAACCCUGGG